CCCUUGUUAGCUCAGUUGGUAGAGCGCUCCACCUGUAAUGGAGAGGUCCCGGGUUCGAUACCCGGACCAGGCG
rnacentral:tRNA from 2 species